AGAGUUUGAUUAUGGCUCAGGAUGAACGCUAGCUACAGGCUUAACACAUGCAAGUCGAGGGCAUCGGGAAGAAGCUUGCUUCUUGCCGGCGACCGGCGCACGGGUGAGUAACGCGUAUCCAACCUUCCCCUUAGUAGCGGAUAGCCCGGCGAAAGUCGGAUUAAUACGCUAUGUUAUCCGAAGAGGACAUCUGAAUUGGAUUAAAGAUUGAUCGCUAAGGGAUGGGGAUGCGUCUGAUUAGGUAGUCGGCGGGGUAACGGCCCACCGAGCCAACGAUCAGUAGGGGUUCUGAGAGGAAGGUCCCCCACAUUGGAACUGAGACACGGUCCAAACUCCUACGGGAGGCAGCAGUGAGGAAUAUUGGUCAAUGGACGAGAGUCUGAACCAGCCAAGUAGCGUGCAAGGAUGACGGCCCUAUGGGUUGUAAACUGCUUUUAUGCGGGGAUAAAGUGCACCACGUGUGGUGUUUUGUAGGUACCGCAUGAAUAAGGACCGGCUAAUUCCGUGCCAGCCGCAGC
rnacentral:rRNA from 1 species